GUAUAAUGGGUCAGCGACUUACAUUCAGUGGCGAGGUUAACCGGAUAGGGGAGCCGUAGAGAAAUCGAGUCCGAACAGGGCGACAGUCGCUGGGUGUAGACCCGAAACCAAGUGAUCUACCCAUGGCCAGGAUGAAGGUGCGGUAACACGCCCUGGAGGUCCGAACCCACUAAUGUUGAAAAAUUAGGGGAUGAGCUGUGGGUAGGGGUGAAAGGCUAAACAAACUUGGAAAUAGCUGGUUCUCUCCGAAAACUAUUUAGGUAGUGCCUCAAGUAUCACCACCGGGGGUAGAGCACUGUUAUGGCUAGGGGGUCAUUGCGACUUACCAAACCAUUGCAAACUCCGAAUACCGGUGAGUGCGAGCUUGGGAGACAGACAUCGGGUGCUAACGUCCGGUGUCAAGAGGGAAACAACCCAGACCGCCAGCUAAGGUCCCAAAGAUUGGCUAAGUGGAAAACGAAGUGGGAAGGCUAAAACAGUCAGGAUGUUGGCUUAGAAGCAGCCACCCUUUAAAGAAAGCGUAAUAGCUCACUGAUCGAGUCGUCCUGCGCGGAAGAUGUAACGGGGCUAAGCCAGUCACCGAAGCUGCGGAUAUCCGUAAGGAUAUGGUAGGAGAGCGUUCUGUAAGCCUGCGAAGGUGUCUUGUAAAGGAUGCUGGAGGUAUCAGAAGUGCGAAUGCUGACAUGAGUAGCGAUAAUGCGGGUGAAAAGCCCGCACGCCGUAAGCCCAAGGUUUCCUGUUCAACGUUCAUCGGAGCAGGGUGAGUCGGCCCCUAAGGCGAGGCAGAGAUGCGUAGCUGAUGGGAAGCAGGUUAAUAUUCCUGCACCGUCGUAUGAUGCGAUGGGGGGACGGAUCGCGGAAGGUUGUCUAGCUGUUGGAAUAGCUAGUUUUUGACUCAUAGAAGGUGCUUAGGCAAAUCCGGGCACGUAAUUCAAGGGGUUGAGACGAGUCGCCAUGUGCGAUGAAGCAAUCGGAAGUGGUUCCAAGAAAAGCCUCUAAGCUUCAGUCAUACGAGACCGUACCGCAAACCGACACAGGUGGGCGAG
rnacentral:rRNA from 1 species